UUAAUUGAAACCAAAAAGAGGUAUUUCACUGUUAAUGAUUUCAAUGAGUUUUAACUCCGAUUAAA
rnacentral:tRNA from 1 species